rnacentral:rRNA from 1 species
GUGUCAGCAGCCGCGGUAAUACGGAGGAUCCAAGCGUUAUCCGGAUUUAUUGGGUUUAAAGGGUGCGUAGGCGGCUUAUUAAGUCAGGGGUGAAAGACGGUGGCUCAACCAUCGCAGUGCCCUUGAUACUGAUGAGCUUGAAUACACUUGAGGUAGGCGGAAUGUGACAAGUAGCGGUGAAAUGCAUAGAUAUGUCACAGAACACCAAUUGCGAAGGCAGCUUACUAAGGUGCAAUUGACGCUGAGGCACGAAAGCGUGGGGAUCAAACAGGAUUAGAUACCCUGGUAGUCC